rnacentral:lncRNA from 1 species
AUUUUGAAUUCCGGAAUUACUUACAUUAACAAAAUAUGAUAGAAAUAGACAUUUGCUUUAGAAUGAGCUAAAUACUGAAUUUUUAUAUACACAGUAAGAUUUGGUAGCAGUUUAAAUAUUUUCAGAAAACUGAAUCCAAGACUCUUUAUUUAUGUUUACUGCAAUGCAAGGAGAGAGUCUUAAGUCAACUAUUAAUAUAUCUGUGCUAUAUUUUCCUCUAAGGAUUUGGGAACAGAAUUAUGCUGUUCUCAUGAAAACAAUAUUUGUCCAGGCCUUACAGAGGGUUGCAAUGCACUCUAUUACUUUUAAAACAAAAAUAUCACUCAGUUUAGAUUUAAAAUGUAAUGCUUUUCUCUUUUCUUUUCUUUUCCCCCCCUUUUUUUUUUCUUUUUUUUUUUCCUUUAUCUUUCAGCCCAAGAACUUGCCAGUCAAGAUGAAAAACUUCUUCUAAUGGAAUCCAGCUUGAAAGCAACUCAAGAGCAGCUAAGUGAGCAAACAGCAGAAACAGUUCACCAAGAACAGAACAGUAGAAAAUCACAGACAGAGCUGAAAGAAGAUCCUGAGAGAACGUAUUAUAGCUUCUGAUGAAGAAAUUAGUGAUUACAAAAGCUGUCUCUAAGCAAGAUGCUGCCAAAUAAAAGGAAAUUUAGUGUUUGAACUUUUAGUCACAACAAUACAUCUCAGUGUGCACUGUAUGGAGACACCAAAGCAGAAAUACUCGCAUAGAUGACAGAAUGUUCAUCUUGUUUGCAGUUGUCUAAACUCUUACAGAAAAAAUCCUGAUUUCUCUUAAAAAAACAGAAAACUGUGUGGAGAACUUUAAGGUCUGAAAAAUGUGAGUAAUGCCUCCAGAAAAGCUUAAAUGGGAAUCACGCCAAGAAUGUGGGACCAGGAAAGUCAAAUUGUCAGACUGAGACAAAACUUUGUGGAAAUGGAAGAAGAAGUAAAGAACUUAAGACUUACACACAGCAAUGAUGCUCAGAUGAUUGAUAAGAAUCUGAAUACUCUGAGAAAUGAGAUGAACUUGUAUGAAGACACAUAGGAUGGUAGUCAAAUGAGCUGAAGUUUAAAUAUGAACAACACAAUGCAACACUGAGGCCUGCAUGACUGUAAGAAUGUUAGGAUAGAAAAUUGUCUUUGGUAGCAGCAAAGAUUAAAAAAAUAGUAUCACUUAAAUAAAUACAUGUGAAGAAGCCAAAUUUGUAACAAAAAGGAAACCAGUAAAUGAAUUCACAAAAGCCAGCUACUACAUAGCAAAUCUCUGUAUAAAUGGGCUGAGAGUAUGUACCAAGAAGAAGGCAAGUAUCUAUUCUUUUUCAAUGGGAAAAACAAAAAACAAAAAACAAACAAACAAAAAAGCUAUUUCAUCCUUACUUUGGGAAAAAGGCACACAAAACCAAAGCAAAAAAUGCCUCACUGACUGCAUCUGUCCAUUCUGUACUGUAAUUUGUUUCCCGCUAUGAAGAUUUAGGUUAAAUUCAUUUCUAUUAUUAAAGACAAAUAAGCUGCAAAAGAACUAAUUCUCUGUCUCCAUCUUUUACAUGUAUAUUUAUUCAUAUGAAUGCACUUUUGUUCAUUUAUUUUUACUUCUACCUUGACAAAGCUGUGCAAAAAAUAACAUAGUUUGAUUACUCAUAAUUUGCAUUUGUGUAAUUAAUAGGGAUGAAAAGGAUUAAAAUCAAUGGAGAAAUAUUUAUUUGUUUAAAUUGGAUAACUAUGGAAAAACUAUUUGGCAGGAAUGAAAGCUUUUCCAUCUAAAUUACGUCAUAUAAUUUAAACUGUUUUAGUUUUUAAGCUUAAAAAGCAUGAAAAUCACAAAGCAGAACUGGAAGAAGACACAGAAAAAUACUGCCAUGUAAAGGAAGAGCCUUCAGAACAAGGGUCUCAGCUCAAAAUUAGCUAGCUGGUCCAUUCUGGAGUGGGAAAACUGAUAAAAUGCCGCAGUACUCAGGUAAUACCCUUGAUACAAUAUGUGGAAGGGAGACAGUGUUUGAAGUAAUAUCAGUGAAUGUAUCAGAGUACUCUCAGAGAAUUUUUCCAACGGAUAAGGAAAUAUUAUUUAAAUAAUACUAACUGUAAAAUUCACUCAUGAGUGAUUGAGAAAACAUGAGAAAUAUUGUUGAAAAUAUCAAGUCAAUAUAACAGCAGCAUUUCUUCUUUUAAAAGUGUUGUGGGUGGGAUUCACCUUGUUGAACUGGAGGUAGGAAUAUUUGAAAUAGAUGUCUAAGUUCCAUUGCUGUCAUUGGAGACUUAAUCAACUCAGUGAGUGAAAUCAAGGGCUAUCAAUACCUUUCAUUACCCAAAGUGAACCUACAGAAAAGCUGGAGAGUGACUCUUUAUCAGGUAGCAUAGUCAUAGGACAAGGGAUAGUUGCCUUCAACUAAACUAGAUUAGAUAUUAGAAAGAAAUUCUUCACUAUGAGGACAGUGAGAUACUGAAAUAAAUUGUCCAUAGAAACUGUGGAUGCUCCAUCUCUGGGAGCAUUCAAACGUAGGUUGAGUGAAGCCCUUGGCAACUUGAUCUCAUGGAAGGUGACUGUGCUAUGGCAGGGAAUUAGAACUAGAUGAAUUUAAGUUCUCUUCCAAACCAUUUUAUGAUUCUAUGACUAAAUAUUGAUCCAAUCAAUAUUAAGGUUUUCAGAGGAGCUGAAAAUCAAUCCCAGUGACAAUAUUAUUCAUUGUGAUAGAACACAUUCACACACCGUAAUGCAGACAUCCAAAUUUGGGUAAGAAUAAUCAGAUUAGAAAAGUUAGCCUUUUUGCAGCAAUUCAUUAUAUAAUACGGAAUUAUUUUAUUUAUUUUUGUUACUAAUAAGAGUACUAGAUGUUUCACAAGCAUAGAUACUGGUCAAUUAUCUGAGCAAUAUCCAAUAUAUAAAUACACAAAGUUAGAAGGAAAUGAUCAAUGCCAGAGAGAAAUAAAAGUUAAAAUAAUACAUGCUUUUUCUUCUGUGUCUGAGAGAAUGUGAGUAGAUGUGAAAGUUGGAAAACCAAAAGAAUUAGUAGUAUGACAACAUUCCUUUUCUACCCUAGCAUUGUCAAAAGAUAACAAGAUUAAUUCUCUGCUGUAGUAUUUCACUACAGUAGUGUGUUAAUUUGAGGGGCUUGGCUGAGCCUUAUUCAGCAUAUAAUUAGAAUUUACUGAACUUUAAUUUCUUAUCAUCUUUAGGCUGCAUUAUCAAAGUGUUUAUAUUGAAACAUUCAAAUGUUCAGUUAAAAAUAAACUUCAGUUUGUCAAGGAUACAUUGUAUACAAAUUCUGUGGAAAUAUUUGAAUAAAAUUGUUCACUUUUGCUUUGUGAGAAAUGCUUUGCACUUUACAUAUUUAUAACAUAAUGUCAUUAGAGUAUGUAUCUUAGAAAUAUAGCAAUUUCCUGGUGAAUUUAUUGAAUAAAUGCUUAUCUAAUAAGUAAUUUGAGAGUAGAGAAAGAUCUAAUGAAAAGCUAAAUACACAGUGAAAUCCUAAUCAAGCAAUUGAAAUAGUUACUCAUGAUAAAACUAAGAUUAUCAGAGUAUCAGAACACAAAUUACUCCAUUAAUCUUUUGAAUUAGUCAGUUCUUAUUUUCUGAAGCUAAGUAACUUGAGAAGGUACACUCAAGGUUUCAUCUUUCUGAAGACUGUAUUUAUUACCUUUACUUUCAUAAAGAGUUCAUUAGAAAGAAUAUUACAGUGAAAUACGUUAACUUUUUAGCCUGUUUUAAUGAAGUCAUGUGAGUCUUUAAUUAUCUGACAUAAAACUGCUUAGUUUUACGUAGUAUCUACAGAUACUAAUUAGUAUCUACAUAUAUACAUUAGUAUCUACAUCAAUUAGUAUCUACAGAUAUUAACGGAUUCAUAUGUCAUAAAGCCAGAAGAAACGCUGUUAUUGAAUCUUAUAUGUGGCACAAUGCAGGCCACAGGACUUCACUGAAUUGAGUAGUUGUAAGAGAUUAUUCUUUUAUAUGAUUGACUCAAAGUUUGCUGAGGAACAAGUCCAGGCAAGUCCUGGGCAAAGGUACAGAAAUCUUCUGUCUGGAGGACACUGAUGGACAGGUCCUGGCUAAAGGAUUGUGAAGUCCUUUAAGGAGCACAGAUGGACGAGGCCAGGGGCAACGAGAGAGGGAUAAGCUGCUGAUAAUGGCUGAGAAAUGGUCUUUUGUGUGGACUUAUCUAGAAGAAGAUGGCCAUCUCAGGAGCUACGCACAUGACUCUUGCUCAAGCACCCAGGGAUGUCACGUAGGCAGGAAAAAGAGGAGGAUAAAAGAGGGUCUAACAACCAUGAGGAGAGGGUUUCUGCCAUCAGAUCCCUCACCACGACGGACUCAAGGUUUCUGCCAUCAGAUCCUUCACUACGGACCAUAUGCUGAUGGACUUCCCUGGGCCUGCUACCUGAGACCUGCUGCUUCCUCCCAGACUUACUCUGCGGCUUCUUCCUGGACCCACCCGGUACCUGCACCCUCUCGUUGCCCAAGACCGGCCUCGCUGCUCCUGCCCUUCAGCCUCGGACCAUCAGAACAUCGUGCAACAGGACUACUGCUGGUGGUGACUAUCCCCGCUUUAUGCAAUUCUUGCUUCUUUCUAUCUUUUCUAUCGCUCGCCUUCCCUUUCCCAUCACCCCAAUCCAUAAUAGUGUCCGUCCUCCCCUUUCUUCAUCUCCCUUAUUAACAUAUGUAAUAAACUGGUCGGACCAACAUUUGAACCGUUGUUUCUUAAUCUCACGCCGGGCAUACAUAUUUCAAAGAACCUCCUCUCCCUCCUAUAAAUUGGAGUGAGACAGUAGUACAUUAUGUCUAAGUAAAUGUGAUUAAAAUGGAGUAUAUUAAAAUGGAGCAUACAUUUUUAAUACAUUCUUGACUUUAAAUAUACACAAUGUUAGAGAAUUCAUUACGGUCUUUCACAGGUUGCCUCAAUAGUUAGUAAAACAUAUAGCAUGCUGACUGUUCAUCAUUUUAUCAUCUUUCUUGGAAUGUUAUACAAAUCUCAACAUAUAUAAAAAUAGUUUUUAUGUCAUCUUUAUCAAUAACAUUUGAAAUAUCAUAAAACUGAAAGAGCAGAUAGUUUUACAAGAUGUGUUUACAGUAAAUCCACAGUAACUUUGGUUAUUAUAUUAAUGCACAUUUGUUAUAUGUAUCUACAGCUAACACAAAUUACUGUGGAAUUAUGAUAUUAGCUGUCCUGAUAUUUUGCUUGAAAGAGAUAACUACCCUCCUUGAAUUACUUGAAUCACCCUCUUAAAACCUAAGAAAUAUUAGCACAGAAUUAACAGAUAAAUUAACCUGUACUGUUUUGGAAGUUUUUAAGGUUGUCAAGACCAAACACUGUAAAUAUGGCCUAGAAAUUCUUUUCAAAAGCACUUCAAAAGCACUUAGAUAUGUUUUACGUAGACAAUUUGAAAUAUAUUUAUACUUAUGUGAUUGCAGUCACUUUUAUCCUAAGACUAAAAUACCAUACAUUCUUCAGUUAUAAUAGAAUAUUUCACAUGAAGGGUUCUACAGAGAUCAUCAAGUCCAACUGCCUGACAACUUCAGAGGUAACCACAAGUUAAGCGUAUUACUGAGGGCAUUAUCCAAAUGCAUCUCAAGUAAUAUUAGGCAUAGGACAUCAGUCAUCUCAUUGCAGUGAGAUAAAAGCCUGUUCCACUGUUUGAUGAUAAAUAAAUGUCCAGUAUAGUCUGAAACUCCCCUGGCACAGCACAGCUGUGUGCCACUCCUGUGCAACCUGCAAUCAGCACAGAAGAUACCAGGGAGCAGAGACCAGCACCUCCCUCUGUACUUCCUCUCCUCAAGGAGCUGCAGAGAGCAGUAAAGUCAUCUUGUAGACUCCUAUUCUCCAGGCUAGACAGUCCAAGAGUCCUCACCCUUUCCUUACUAGACAUGUCUUCCAUUCUGAUUACCUGCUUUGUUGCCAUUGUCUGGACACUUUUAGAUAUCUUAAUAAUGUUUUUAUGUUGUGGGGCAUACAUUAUUCAAGGUGAGGUUGCACCAACUCCAAAUAUAUCAGGACAAUCACCCCAAAAAGCAGUUUGCCCUUUUGGCAACCAACACUGCUGGUUCAUACUGAGCCUGCUAUCAUCAGCCCUCCUAGAUCAAUUUGUUCUGAGCUGCUCUCCAGCCAUUCAUCUCUCAGUUUGUGUCAUCUCUCAGGUACUGUGCCAGGCAUAGUACCUGACAUUUACCUUUGUUGAACUUCACGCCAUUGUUUCCCCAGUGCUCCAAUCCAUCCACAUUGCUCUACAAGACCUCAGCAACACAACUGACCAUCUACUAGCCAAAUGGGUCUCCAUCACUACAACACUUUGAGUUCUACCAUUGAGCCAGUUUAUCACCCUGCAUAGUGUGAACAUACUUAUCUCACAGUUGGACAAUUUGUACAGAAAGUUGCCAUGAAGGAUCAUAUCAAAGGCUUUACUGAAUUCUAGAAAGAUGACGUACACUGCCUUCCUUCAUCCACCAAGUGGGUAAUCUUAUAAAAAGAAAUCAAAGCAAUGAAGACAGGGCUUUCCCUUCAUGAACCCAUAUUGACUAUGCCUGACAAUGGCUUUGUCCUUCAAGUGCCUUUCAGUAACACUCACUAUAAUCUUCUCCAUAAAUUUUUAGGGUACUGAGUUAGGUUAACAAGUCUGUUACAGAUUUGUUACUUUUGUUACUUUGUUUUCAGUAAGUUCUUUCUCUUUAUUUUUUGUUUGUUUGUUUAUUUUACUUUGUUUUGGGAAGAGGAGAGCUUGUGGUGGGGAGUGGGGUUUUGUCAUCUACGUAGUGCUAUUGAAGAUAAUACUACUUUUUUAUAUUUAAACAUUUGAUCCUCAGAAAGUUUCAUCCUAUUCUUUCAUGUUUACGAGAUUUUUCUCUCUUCAAACACUUUUUUUCUUUGUAUGAACAUUUGCAAAUGAGUGUGUACAUGCAUAUCAAUGACCAUGAGUACAUGGGGCUUAUCUGUUCCUCAAAAAUAUGACUUGGUCAAAAUUACUUUUGCAUAAAGAACAACUGAAUUUCAGCAACGUAAUCCUUUCCUACUCAUAAGUCUUAAAUUAAUGUGCAAAAUUGAAUUAAUCAGCAUAUUUAAUUACAAUUUUUUUGUUAAACUUAUUUAUCUGUGAAGGUGUUAUGUAUAAUUUUUGAAAGUUAAUGGAUACAUUAUUAAGCAAAGAGUAACAGCUCCAACAAACCAGAAUUAUUUAAGUCUCUGAGGAAAACUAAGAUUUCCCUUCUGAUUCAUCUUUAAAAUCCUGUUUUCAACAUCUUUGCAAAGUUAAUUUUAGUUUUUUAAAAGCCAGGUAACUUAAAAUAAUUUUUCUGCCCUUCAUUCCUCUUUUGUUUAUCGUGUUUUUCAGAAUGUUGUUCCAUUAGUGACUUUGAAGUCAGUGAUGUUAGAUCAAAUUAUUCAAAUUACUAGCUUUUGUUGUUGCUGGUGCUGUUUUGUGGGGUUUUUUUCUUUUGUUUUGUUUUGUUUUGAUUUUCCUCUUAUGAAUGUAAUUUACUGGUGUAGUGGUUAUUAGAACAGAACUUCACAGUGUUUGUGUUUUGUCUUAAUUAUAAGUAAUUUUAUAUCACUAAUAUUAUCAGUAAACUUGUUUGUGUAUAUUUUACUCAAUGAAAUGUUAAUGCCAAACUUUGAACAGAAACUGUACUGACUACUUCUAUCUUAAAACAGACAGUACCAGUAGCUGAUUGUUUUACUUUUGUUUCCUUUCAUCAAACAACUCUAUUCAGAAGGUGAAAAUUUCCUUUUCUUCUUUUUGAUGGAAUUUCUUUUCAUUUCUCCCCUUUCUUUUCAUAGUUUUACAAACGGGCAGUUACACAGUUUAUUACAAAAUAUGUUGAGGCACAUGCCUAGAAGGUGUGUUGAAUGGCAUACUCCAUCUACUUGUGGCAUCUAUGCAUAUUAAGUUGUUAAAAGCAUGUUUGUCAAACUUAUAUGACAGUUUUAGCAAUUGUAAAAACGCAUAUUUGCUAUGCUAUGCUAGAAGAAGAGGAAGAAAAAGAAGAAGAGAAGUGAAAAAAGAGAGGAGAGAAGAGGAGAGGAGAGGAGAGGAGAGGAGAGGAGAGGA